UACGUAGGUGGCAAGCGUUGUCCGGAUUUACUGGGUGUAAAGGGCGUGUAGCCGGGCUGACAAGUCAGAUGUGAAAUCCGGGGGCUCAACCCCCGAACUGCAUUUGAAACUGUUGGUCUUGAGUAUCGGAGAGGCAGGCGGAAUUCCUAGUGUAGCGGUGAAAUGCGUAGAUAUUAGGAGGAACACCAGUGGCGAAGGCGGCCUGCUGGACGACAACUGACGGUGAGGCGCGAAGGCGUGGGGAGCAACCAGG
rnacentral:rRNA from 1 species